rnacentral:rRNA from 1 species
AGUUUGAUCCUGGCUCAGGAUGAACGCUGGCGGCGUGCCUAAUACAUGCAAGUCGAGCGAACGGACGAGAAGCUUGCUUCUCUGAUGUUAGCGGCGGACGGGUGAGUAACACGUGGAUAACCUACCUAUAAGACUGGGAUAACUUCGGGAAACCGGAGCUAAUACCGGAUAAUAUUUUGAACCGCAUGRUUCAAAAGUGAAAGRCGGUCUUGCUGUCACUUAUAGAUGGAUCCGCGCUGCAUUAGCUAGUUGGUAAGGUAACGGCUUACCAAGGCAACGAUGCAUAGCCGACCUGAGAGGGUGAUYGGCCACACUGGAACUGAGACACGGUCCAGACUCCUACGGGAGGCAGCAGUAGGGAAUCUUCCGCAAUGGGCGAAAGCCUGACGGAGCAACGCCGCGUGAGUGAUGAAGGUCUUCGGAUCGUAAAACUCUGUUAUUAGGGAAGAACAUAUGUGUAAGUAACUGUGCACAUCUUGACGGUACCUAAUCAGAAAGCCACGGCUAACUACGUGCCAGCAGCCGCGGUAAUACGUAGGUGGCAAGCGUUAUCCGGAAUUAUUGGGCGUAAAGCGCGCGUAGGCGGUUUUUUAAGUCUGAUGUGAAAGCCCACGGCUCAACCGUGGAGGGUCAUUGGAAACUGGAAAACUUGAGUGCAGAAGAGGAAAGUGGAAUUCCAUGUGUAGCGGUGAAAUGCGCAGAGAUAUGGAGGAACACCAGUGGCGAAGGCGACUUUCUGGUCUGUAACUGACGCUGAUGUGCGAAAGCGUGGGGAUCAAACAGGAUUAGAUACCCUGGUAGUCC